UGGGGAAUAUUGGGCAAUGGGCGAAAGCCUGACCCAGCGACGCCGCGUGGGUGAUGAAGGCCUUCGGGUUGUAAAGCCCUGUCAUGCGGAAAGAACGACCCUGUGACGCAUACUCACAGGGAGUGACGGUACCGCAGGAGGAAGCACCGGCUAACUCCGUGCCAGCAGCCGCGGUAAUACGGAGGGUGCAGGCGUUGUUCGGAAUUAUUGGGCGUAAAGGGCGCGUAGGCGGUAAUGUAAGUCAGAUGUGAAAUACUCCGGCUCAACCAGAGAACAGCAUCUGAAACUGCAUAACUAGAGUACAGAAGCGGGAAACGGAAUUCCCGGUGUAGAGGUGAAAUUCGUAGAUAUCGGGAGGAACACCAGUGGCGAAGGCGGUUUCCUGGUCUGAUGCUGACGCUGAGGCGCGAAAGCGUGGGG
rnacentral:rRNA from 1 species